UGGGAGUUCAGCAGUCAGGAUACAGACCAGAGUCAAUCUCGAAGUAGAAACCCAUGACGGUCUGAGGAGAAUCCCAGGUGAGGUCCCUCAACAUGGGCAGUUGAAUAGACAAAGUACCUCAGCUCUGCUGCCUUCUUAUACUGUGUCUGUUGAUUGCAGCUUCUGCGCUUGAUGAGGCAGGUGCCCCAGCUGAGGAAUCACAUGCGUCCUUCCCCACUUGGAAAGCUAGUGAACUAGGCUCUGCUUCCUGGAGUGCCUCACCCACUGAUCUUAGGUGCAUUGGGACACUGUGACAGAAACCAGAGCACACGGAAACGCCGUUUACCUUCCCGCACAGUGGUACCUAUUUAUCUACUUGCACUGGUGUGCUUUCGAACUGCUAGGUUGGCGGGAACUGGGACAGAGCAACGGGAGCUCACCCCAUUGAGGGGAUUUGAACAGCCAACCUUCUGAUCGACAAGCCCAAGAGGCUUGUGGUUUAGACCACAGCGCCACCUGUGUCCCUUGUAUUCUUCAAUUGUUAUUUGAUCGCUCCUUGCG